rnacentral:tRNA from 1 species
GAAGCUGUGGCUUAGUGGGUAAAGCUGCUGCCUGAGAUGUUUGCAUCCCAUAGGGGCACUGGUUCUAGUCCUGGCUGCUUCA